AAUCAAACCCACAACCUUGCACUUGCUAAUGCAAUGUUCUGCCACUGAGCUACAGGAACACUUCAAGAUUUUGUGCAAAAUAAGUGCAAAUUUCACUUACUUACUUUUUUAUUUUGGAAAAGUUUUUACAACAACAAUAAACCCGAAACAGAUAAAUGUAAAUUAUAUAUAUAUAUUUUUUUCAAAACAGAUUUAUCAAAUGAGGGUAAAUAAGUCUCUCACUUCUGUCCCUUUAAACCAGUUUACAGCAAAGACAGCACGAAGGACUGGAUUCACAUGAUAAAUAUUCUGCAAUUAAGAAAACAGACAAAAGAAAUAGCACUGUAAAACCCGAUAAGUAACUUAACUGGACUACUUUGAUGAUGUUUUUCUUACCUUUCUGGACAUGGACAGUAUACCGUACACACAGCUUCAAUGGAGGGACUGAGAGCUCUCGGACUAAAUCUAAAAUAUCUUAAACUGUGUUCCGAAGAUAAAAGGAGGUCUUACAUGUUUGGAACAGCAUAAGGGUGUGUUAUUAAUUACAUAAUUUUCAUUUUUGGGUGAACUAACCCUUUAAGGCUGAGACCACAAUCGAGCUGUUCAAUUAUAUAGGUUUUGCUGACAUCAGUAACAAUUUUAUGACAACUAAUCUUUUGUCUAAAUUACAAUCUUUGUGGAUGUGGUUGUAGUUAUUAGCUGGCUAAUAACAAGGAGCUUUGAGUGAGAGCUAGUAGUUACAGUUUAGCUGCUACCAAGCAGUUUAACAUUAGUUGGAGAGCCAGAAUUGUUCUUUCUUUUCAAUAUUACUUAAGUUGCACAUGAUUUCCAAUUGGUUUGUUUUGUUAAAAACAUCUUGCCUUAUGAUACAGGAAAUUGCUGGCUUUAGAGGAGAAGAUGCCUGCCUACAAAUGCUCCAAUUGCCGUAGACUCAAAACAAGAGCCUGUGGGAUCACCUUUCACCUCCUGGUGACAGAUGCUGCAUCAAGGACCAGAACUUCCACCUGCUGACUUUAAACACAUUGGAGGUCUGGUGAUGACAUCAGAAGACACAGUGAGGGUCGUCAGGGCAGCAGAGUGUGUCAUUCAUCAGCCAGUACUAGACGAUCACAGCCCAUCAAACUGCUAGAGGUCAUGUUCAUUGUACGAAAUAGGGUCAGAGGAUGUGUUUGUACUCGGGGAGCACAACGGCAAAAUGGAGUAUGGCAUAGACAGCCACCACCAUUCGCUGUUAACAUUAGUUGUGUUCCUGUUUGACAAACCUUACCUUACAAAGUAACAACAUGUGACAGAAGCUUAAUAAAACCGUCUUUUUCAAAGGGCAUUAGCGAAA